rnacentral:rRNA from 1 species
GACGAACGCUGGCGGCGUGCCUAAUACAUGCAAGUAGAACGCUGAAGCUUGGUGCUUGCCCCGAGCGGAUGAGUUGCGAACGGGUGAGUAACGCGUAGGUAACCUGCCUGGUAGCGGGGGAUAACUAUUGGAAACGAUAGCUAAUACCGCAUAAGAGUAGAUGUUGCAUGACAUUUGCUUAAAAGGUGCAAUUGCAUCACUACCAGAUGGACCCGCGUUGUAUUAGCUAGUUGGUGAGGUAACGGCUCACCAAGGCAACGAUACAUAGCCGACCUGAGAGGGUGAUCGGCCAAACUGGGACUGAGACACGGCCCAGACUUCUACGGGAGGCAGCAGGAGGGAAUCUUCGGCAAUGGACGGAAGUCUGACCGAGCAACGCCGGGGGAGUGAAGAAGGGUGUCGGAUCGUAAAGAUCCGUUGUAAGAGAAGAAAGAGUGUGAGAGUGGAAAGUUCACACUGUGACGGUAUCUUACCAGAAAGGGACGGCUAACUACGUG